rnacentral:rRNA from 1 species
UUCGCAAUGCCCGAAAGGGUGACGAUGCGACGCCGCGUGAGCGAAGAAGGCCCUAGGGUUGUAUAGCUCUGUCGAGGGUUAUGAAAUAUAGAUGGGUUAAUACCCCAUUUAUUUGACAAAAGCCCAAAAGGAAGCCACGGCUAACUCUGUGCCAGCAGCCGCGGUAAUACAGAGGUGGCGAGCGUUGUUCGGUAUUAUUGGGCGUAAAGAGCACGUAGGUGGUUUUGUAAGUCAGGUGUGAAAGCCUUCUGUUCAAAGGAAGAACGGCAUCUGAGACUGCAGAUCUUGAGUGUAGGAGGGGAGAGUGGAACUUCUGGUGGAGCGGUGAAAUGCGUAGAUAUCAGAAGGAACGUCGGCGGCGAAAGCGACUCUCUGGCCUAUUACUGACACUGAGGUGCGAAAGUUAGGGGAGCAAACGGGAUUAGAUACCCCGGUAGUCCUAACUGUAAACGAUGGGCACUAAGUAGAGGGGUUUU